ACUAUUUGAAUGUGUGUUGCUCCUUGUGGCAGGUAUACUGUUCCAAUGCCCUGGGAUCUCUGUAGUGGUCGGUACUGUAUUGAUUAUAAAUGGUGAAGUCCUAGUAUCUUGCUAGAGUGAGCUGGCCAGGAUGGUGGAGCUCUACCACCAUUUCACAGGUUAUAGACAGGGGCCACCAGGUUUCAGGAAAGCAGCAAUGACCCCUCAGUAAUAGUUGGAAAGUGUGAUAUGACACUGAGCUUCACUGUGUUGGUGAAGAAGAGGUGAGGAAAAUAAAAGCUGCAGUUUGCCUCCACCUCUGAAGAAGCACAAUACACCUUUCUGGGUUACCAAUGGGAUACUUCCCAACAGCUUUGUCAUCACAUACAAUAUUCUCAAACAAGAUCUUAAUGGCAUCUACUUUCUCCAGGAACACAGCCCCUGACCUGUGUGUGUUUGCGUAGAGAAGGCAUGCUAUGUACCCCCUAGGAUAUCAAGAUUCCUGUAGCAGAUUGAGCUCUGGCAGUUGAUCUCAGUGGCUUGAUAGAGUGUCAUUAUAAAAACGCACCUGGAAGAUUCUGUGGAAAAGACAACCUCAGAAGACCAAGGCUGACUUUGCAAGAGAGAGUCCGUUUACCACUUAGAACCGUGAACACCACCCCCGCCCUCAUUUAUCUCCAGACUUGAACUAGUGGUUAAAUCCCAACAUGUCCCAGAGAAGUCAAAAGCAUUGUAAAAUCUGGGAAUCUGCCCACCACUCAAGCCUGGGAAAGCUGGCAGAGGAUGCACGUGUUUUACUCACCUGAGUGUUUACAAUGCUCGUGAGGUGCCUCCCUGAUAGUACAGAGGAAUGAAGAAGGAAUAAACAGACCUUCUGGAUAAUUGCAUCAGCCUUCCCCACUAUUCCAAUGCCAUGCUAACAUUUCAAGUAAUGUCCCUUUUGUCUUGCUGAGAAAAAAUCAUUUCAUGAUUUAUUACACUGGAUUAAAGGCUAUGCACACUCUGGAGUUGGAACAUGACUGAAGGGCAAGCAAGCAUAAAGGAUAUCAGAAACAG
rnacentral:lncRNA from 1 species